rnacentral:lncRNA from 1 species
UUUUUUUUUUUUUUAAACAUUUCAAAUGUUAUCCCUUUCCAGGUCUCCCCUUCCAGAAACCUCCUGUCCCAUCCUCUCUCCCCCUGCCUCUAUGAGGGUGCUUCCCCCACCCCCCCUUUCCAGCCCUGGUAUUCCCCUACACCAGGGCAUCAAACCUCCUCAGGCCCAAGGGCUGUUCCUCCCACUGAUGUCCAACAAGGCCAUCCUCUGCCACAUAUGGGGCCAGAGCCAUGGGUCUCUCCAUGUGUGCUCUUUGGUUGACAGUCCGGUCCCCAGGAGCUCUGCGGGGUCUGUCUGGCAGUGCCCAGUAGAUUUUCACAUCACCGUUGCACAAUUGAAGGAAGUUAGGACAAGAACCUGGAGGCAGGAGCUGGAGCAGAGGUCCUGAAGAACAUUGCUUACUGUCUUAUUUGUGCCUUAGUCAUUUUAAGUUUUCAUACCUGCCUAAAGGUGGCAUCACUAACUGUUGAGGCCCUGUAUCAUUAAUUAAUCAAGGAAACGCCCCGUAGAUCGCUACCGGCCAGUCUUAACAGAGGCAUGUUCUCAAGAUUUCCUUUUUGUGCCUGCCAGGCAGUCGUGGCGCACACCUUUAAUCUCAGCUCUCGGGAGGCAGAGGCAGAUGGAUUUCUGAGUUGGAGGCCAGCCUGGUCUACAGAGUGAGUUCCAGGACAACCAACCAGGACUAUACAGAGAAACCCUGUCUCAAAAAAAAAAAAAAAAACAAAAAAAAAAACUGUCUGAGAACACCCUGCACAGCCGCUUGCCCUUAUCCCAUUUUGGUUCCUGGAGCUGUGGUCACUUGAACCUUUGGCCAGCCAUUCCCGUCUGUUGGGCAGAUGGCAACUCAGGUAGCUUUUUACUGAGUUCGAGGCCAGCAUGUUCUACAAAGUGAAUUCCAGGACAGCCAGGGCUACACAGAGAAACCCUGUCUGGAAAAACCAAAAAAAAAAGGGGGGGGGCCUAGGUCUGUGCCAAGUUGAUGACUCAAUUAAUGCCCAGCCUUGAAGCCCUUUUGUAUACUCUCCCUAGCUAUAGCCUUUGCCUGUAUCAGUGUCCCCUCAGCCGUUCACUGUGUCUCAUCCCCAGUAGGGAGUCCUGUUGACUGGUACCCUGUGGGCUGGCUUGCUUGUUUCUCCAAGCUGCUACCUGCACAUUGGCUGCAUGGAAACGUCGGGGGCCCAUGUUUGCCCCUUACCACAUUAUGUUUGACAAUUUGUUUCGUAUAUUAAAAGUAGAGGUAAAUGUGGGUAGUUAGUUGUAUUGCCUGACCUAAGGAAGGAACUCUAGUGACUGACAGUUGUGGCUGAGUAGCUGUUCAGGAUCUGACAUGCACUUGUCAACAGGAGAAAGUGACCUCUGGCUCUAGUGCUUUAGACCAGGCUGGCCCAUCAGGUCUGUGAUGGCAGAGUCCCUGGAACCUGAUGGCUGCUUACAAGUGAGCCCAAGAAGCUGAAGCUGGAACAUUUCUCAAGUUUGUCACCAUAUCAUGCACUGAGAGUUCCUAUGUAAAAAGUUUAUCUUGAGUCACACCUACCAAAGACUCAGUGAAAGUUAUAGAAAUUUGGGGAGAUAGAUUCAAUUCCUGGCACUAAGAUUUAAGCAGGGUUGGACUGUGACCCAGUAUCUGGUACACAGGUAGAAUGCUUGCCUAGUAUGCUCCAGUCCUUGGAUUCCAUCUCCAGUAUUGUAUACAAUAAACACAGGCAUGGUGUUACAGGCUUGUAAGCCCAGCACUUUGGUAAGGGGCAGGAAGAUUAGGAGUUAGAAGCUAUAGCUACUUAGUAGAUUCAAAAUCAACCAUAGCUGCAUCCUGUCUCAAAAAGUAAGACAAACUGAAAACAGUAAGUUAUAAGGGCCUGGAGUUACCUGAAGGGCACCAGGGACUCACUGAAAUUUGCAUAUUAGCCUAAGCGUCUCCUCUGAGACACAGUUUAUGGUGGCCUGGCUCUCAUUGCUGGGACUAUAUACCACUGAGCAUCUAGAGUGGCAGUGAUCUAGAUAUCAGAAACUCAGGCUGAUGAAUGAACACAGGCCACCUGUGGACCAGUCUCCUGACUUUAAGCUCUUGCUUUUUUGCUGGUGAGAAAGAGAAGGUGCCCCCCCACCCCCACCCCAAGUUGUAUUAGCUUUGUCAGGUGCUCAAAGGGGAUUGUGGUGAGCUCUGUGGGCAAGAUGCCCUCGAGAUUUAGAUAAACAUACUACUGUAGUACUUAUUAGAAACCAGCUUGGGGGCGGAGAAUAAAAUAUGGAGUGUAAAAGAAUAAAAAAGAGAGAGAGAGAGAAAUCAGCUUCUCUUCCUCUAUUUUGUAGGUUCAUUUCAACCGUGAUGGAUCAUUGAUUGUUUCCAGUAGCUAUGAUGGCCUCUGGUAAGUGAGAGUCUUCAUGUAGUCGGUGACCUGUUGUUUAUGGCCUGCUAUGUUGUUCCAGCUCUGUGGUGCAUCAAAGUGGGGGCCUGUGCCUCCUCAUCCUCCUGAGGCCUGCGCCCCACUGGGUGCAGAGUUCAGGGGAUGAAAAGCUAUGAAGGGAAAGGUAGAUGAUAGGUGAGGGCACCCAGGGCAGAGUGAGAGCUGGGAGCUCCUUGCAUGCCCCUGAGUGUACCCUUUCAAAGUUGUAGAAAGUGAGUUAAAGGUCUGAGCCCUUGUAAGUGCAGUGGUGCUGUUCACAGAUCCCAUGAGCUCUGGGCAGGUGAACCACCAGAUCCCAUUGUGUGGAAC